AUUGAACGCUGGCGGCAUGCCUUACACAUGCAAGUCGAACGGCAGCGGACCUUCGGGUGCCGGCGAGUGGCGAACGGGUGAGUAAUGCAUCGGAACGUGCCAUUGAGUGGGGGGAUAACGUAGCGAAAGUUGCGCUAAUACCGCAUAUUCUGUGAGCAGGAAAGCAGGGGACCGCAAGGCCUUGCGCUCUUUGAGCGGCCGAUGUCAGAUUAGCUAGUUGGUGAGGUAACGGCUUACCAAGGCGACGAUCUGUAGCGGGUCUGAGAGGAUGAUCCGCCACACUGGAACUGAGACACGGUCCAGACUCCUACGGAGGCAGCAGUGGGGAAUUUGGACAAUGGGGGCAACCCUGAUCCAGCCAUGCCGCGUGAGUGAAG
rnacentral:rRNA from 1 species